rnacentral:misc_RNA from 1 species
CGGUGGGCUGGGACACACACGCGCACAUACACAUUUACUCGACACACGAGUGCAGGUGUGCAUAGCGAUGUCCGAGGCGUCGCCACCCCCGGUGGUGGCGACCGCGAGUUCGGCGGUGGCCCCGCAGCCCUUCGGUGGCGCCGAGACCUCGAGGAAGCGGCGCCUGAAGCCUAUUUCCUUUCACCGCAUGGCCAUGAUCCAGGAGGAGAUCGCGCGCAUUGACAAGCAUCUGGAGGCGCUGGAGGCGAGCGAGAGCAAAGUCGUCGAUCCUGACCCGGUUGGGCAGCAUAACCUCACCACCGAAGACGUCAUCGACCCCGUUGUGCUGCACAUGCUCACCGUGGAGCUGUGCCAACUGGCGGCCUCUGGCGACGCCGUGGGUGCCCGAAUUCUACUGACCGGCGGCGCAGAUCCCAACAGUCGCGACUACGAUGGCCGUACACUGCUGCAUAUUGCAUGCAUGAACGGUCGCCUCUCAGUGGUUACCGUGCUCCUUGAAUUCGGCGCAGAUGCGUCGCUGCUGGACCGCGACGGCAACACUCCUCUUGAAGUAGCGGAGGAGAACGGCUUCGGCGACGUCGCGCAGCUGCUGUCUGGCUACUUCGACGCGGAGGCCAACGCCGUGCCCGACUCCUUCACCGGGAAGCCGCCCUCCUUCGAGUCUACACCUGUGUCGAUGCACCAGCCAGACUUUUCUGCCGUCCCGCAGCCCAUGCUCGGGUCGCUCAUUGUCAUUAUGGUCGGGCUUCCCGGGCGUGGCAAGACGUAUGUGGCGGAGCAAAUCCGGCGCUACUUUCAGUGGAACGGGCUCACGUGCAAGAUCUUCUCGCAUCAGGCGUGCCGCCGUCGUGUUGAGCGGGCCAUGACGGACCGGGCGGACAGAGGCGACGACGUGUCAUCGCCGACCGGCGCGACCGAGCUUGAGUUUCGAAUCUCCAAGGAGCUGGCGCACGACCUCACCACCUACAUCUGCAAGACCAGCGGUGUCGCCAUCCUCGACGGCACGCAGACGACACAUGCACGACGGCAGUACCUGCUACGCGCGAUUCGCGACACGCGCCUCAUCAACAUGACGCGCGUCGUCUUUGUGGAGCUGGUGAACAACAACAAGGAGACGAUCCACCGCAACAUCCUGCGCGCCAAGGAGAUGUUUCCGAACACGCCAGAGGACUUCGUGGACCGCUAUUACGAGGUCAUCAAGCAACACGAGGCGGUGUACAAGACACUCAAUCCUCUUACGGACUGCGACAUGCCCUAUAUUCGCAUUGAGGAUACUCAGACGUACUCGCUGAACAUGAUCACUGGUUGGAUGCCGAGUCGCCUCGCCUUCAUGCUGCACAAUCUCAGUCCAACCCCCAUGAACUUGUACCUCACUCGCGCUGGCGAGUACGUGGACUUGCUGAGCGACCGCAUAGGCGGGAACUCGCGCCUCACCGAGCGGGGCCGCGCCUACAGCCGCGCCCUCUUCGAAUACUUCCAAAAGGAAAUUCCGUCAACGACGGCCUUGACCGUCAUGACGAGCUGCGCGAAGCGGUGUACGCAGACGGUGCACUACUUUGCGGAGGAGUCCAUCAAGUGCCAAUCAACUGCGAACCCCGCCUCGGGGCAGGAGGAGGGCAAACCGUCUCUGCGCUGUCGAGUCUUGUACUUUCCUACCCUGGACGACAUCAACCACGGCGACUGCGAAGGGCAACUGCUGUCUGAUGUCCUGCGAACCAUGCCGAACACGUUGCAGUCCAUGAAGGCGGAUCCAUACUACACAGCGUGGCCGAAUGGCGAGUGCAUUCACCAAGUCUUUAACUCGCGACUCGAGCCCCACAUUCACGACAUCCAAGCCAGCACCACCCCCGUGCUCGUCGCCUCUCACCUCCACCUCUUGCAGGGCCUCUACUCGUACUUUGUGACGGACGGCGACAACAUCGUCGCCCCGCAGAACGCGUUCCAGAUUGAUAUCCCGUUCGAGCACGUCAUAAAGAUCCGCAUGGUCGGCCUCAACCGUGUCGCCGAGCUUAUUCCCCUUUCUGAGGCCGUUGAUGCCAUACUGCGGAGUGACACGGAACUGUAUACAUGACAGAGCCUGAGCGAAGAACGACGGCAGCGGCCGCGUCUCUGUUCCAAGUAUGUUCGUCGCUUGCUGGCUUGUGCUCUGCCUUCCUCUUCUGCGUCCUCGGGCACCUCCCUCAAAAGUACAAAAUGAAAGAUCGCAUGUGUGCCUCCUUGUGCGUGUGUGUCUCUCUCUCUGCGGAGCGCAUCGCCGCUGCCGUCGGCGUGUGUGCGCGUGCCUGUAGUUCUUACUCGCUGCAUCGUUGGAGCGGUGACGGGCAGACGCCCGAAGGAAAAACGCCUGCGGCGCAUUGAUGCUGCCGCCGCUGCCGCGGAGUAGAGCGACAGCCAGCGUCCUCGGUGAUGCGCAAGAGAAGUGGAGAAAACGUGCGUCACGGCGCCUCGUGCGAUCGCGUGAUGCUAUUAUGCCUGUCGCUGCCCCCAUCGCUGCUUCACCGUAUCUGCCUGCCUUCGUCGGGGCUUUUGCUUGCGAUGCUCCCGUGUAGUUUGCGUCUCCAUCUUUCGUGCCUUCCCUUCCGUGUAACUCGUGUGCGUGUGCGUACGCCUGACUCUUUCUCUCUCUGCGUGUGCGCCUCUUUGACUCGUCUUUCACGUUACGUUCUCCGUUUCCAUUUUCGUUGG